UACCCGCAGCACAAGCGGUGGUCGUUAUUAUUGGGCCUAAAGCGUCCGUAGCUGGCUUGUUAGAUGCCUGGGUAAAUCGAUGCGCUCAACGUAUCGAAUUCCGGGUAGACUGGCAAGCUCGAGACCGGGAGAGGUGUAGGCUACUCGAGGGGUAGGGGUAAAAUCCUGUAAUCCUUCGGGGAGGACCAGUGGCGAAGGCGCUACACUGGAACGGCUCGGACAGUGAGGGACGAAGCCCUGGGGAGCAAACCGG
rnacentral:rRNA from 1 species